rnacentral:rRNA from 1 species
CAGUAGCCACGGUAAUACGAAGGGGGCUAGCGUUGUUCGGAUUUACUGGGCGUAAAGGGUGCGUAGGCGGAUUGUUAAGUCAGGGGUGAAAUCCCGAGGCUCAACCUCGGAACUGCCUUUGAUACUGGCGAUCUUGAGUCCGGGAGAGGUGAGUGGAACUGCGAGUGUAGAAGUGAAAUUCGUAGAUAUUCGCAAGAACACCGGUGGCGAAGGCGGCUCACUGGCCCGGUACUGACGCUGAGGCACGAAAGCGUGGGGAGCAAACAGGAUUAGAUACCCCCGUAGUCCCUGUCUCUUAUAC